UACGUAGGGUGCGAGCGUUGCUCGGAAUCACUGGGCGUAAAGCGCACGUAGGCGGAUUGUUAAGUCAGGGGUGAAAUCCUGGAGCUCAACUCCAGAACUGCCUUUGAUACUGGCGAUCUCGAGUCCGGGAGAGGUGAGUGGAACUGCGAGUGUAGAGGUGAAAUUCGUAGAUAUUCGCAAGAACACCAGUGGCGAAGGCGGCUCACUGGCCCGGUACUGACGCUGAGGUGCGAAAGCGUGGGGAGCAAACAGG
rnacentral:rRNA from 1 species